GUGACAGAAGAGAGUGAGCACACAUGGUGUUUUCUUGCAUGAAUCUUUGAUUUCUCACCAUGCUUGAAGCUAUGCGUGCUCACCCUCUCUCUGUCAC
rnacentral:pre_miRNA from 1 species